rnacentral:rRNA from 1 species
UUGACCUCAGAUCAGGUAGGAAGACCGCCUGAACUUAAGCAUAUCAAUAAGCGCGAGGAACAGAAACCAACCAGGGAUUCCCCCAGUAGUGGCGAAUGAAGCGGUAAAAGCUCAAGUUUGAAAUCUGACGUGAGUCAGAGUUGUAAGCUGAAGAGGCUUCGACCGAUGUGGCUCGGGCUCAAUUCCCUUGGGAUAGGGAGUCGUGGAGGGUGAGAACCCCGUUCUUGGCCCUGUGGCCUUCAUCCUUGUGUCGUUUCCUCGAAGAGUCGGGUUGUUUGGGAAUGCAGCUCAAAAUGGGUGGUAAAUUUCAUCUAAAGCUAAAUAUUGGCGAGAGACCGAUAGCAAACAAGUAGAGUAAUCGAAAGAUGAAAAGUACUUUGAAAAGAGAGUGAAACCAGUGCGUGAAAUUGUUGAAAGGGAACCGUUUGGUAUCAGCCCAUGGCCGUCCCCGAUCACCCGGGCUUCUGCCCGGUGCACUCGGAGGUGGUCGGGCCAGCGUC